rnacentral:rRNA from 1 species
UACGAAGGGGGCUAGCGUUGUUCGGAAUUACUGGGCGUAAAGGGCGCGUAGGCUGUGCUGUAAGUCAGGCGUGAAAGCCCCGGGCUCAACCUGGGAAUUGCGCUUGAUACUGCGGCGCUGGAAGGUGGGAGAGGAUGGCGGAAUUCCCAGUGUAGAGGUGAAAUUCGUAGAUAUUGGGAAGAACACCGGUGGCGAAGGCGGCCAACUGGACCACAACUGACGCUGAGGCGCGAAAGCGUGGGGAGCAAACAGG